CGGGGUGAGUAACGCGUGGAUAACCUGCCUCACACUGGGGGAUAACAGUUAGAAAUGACUGCUAAUACCGCAUAAGCGCACAGUACCGCAUGGUACAGUGUGAAAAACUCCGGUGGUGUGAGAUGGAUCCGCGUCUGAUUAGCCAGUUGGCGGGGUAACGGCCCACCAAAGCGACGAUCAGUAGCCGACCUGAGAGGGUGACCGGUCACAUUGGGACUGAGACACGGCCCAA
rnacentral:rRNA from 1 species